UUUAAAAGACAAAAUUCACAAAAUAAUGCUGAGAAUAUUUUCCAACAAUUUUGUGAUCUCCAUGAAUAUAAAGGGGAAAGGUCGAAAUAUGCUUUAAGAGCACUAAUUUAUAUGGUGUAGUGAAAGUUCAUGGAAUUUUUUCAAAAUCAAAAUGUGGAAAGGAGUUGUUUGGAGUGAAGAUUUACAAGAAGAAGUAAUUCCAUCUAAUUGGAUUAGUGAUAAAACUGUUUGUUGGCUUCCAGGUACCAAUGCGUUGAUUGCAUUAAAAUGCAGAGAAGAAUUGGCUUAAGUUUAUACAAAUAAAAACUA
rnacentral:lncRNA from 1 species